CUACGGGCCGCAGCAGUCAAGAAUCUUCCUCAAUGGCCGAAAGGCUGAAGGAGCGACGCCGCGUGUAUGAAGACGCCCUUCGGGGUGUAAAAUACUUUUCUAUGGGAAGAAACAAUGACGGUACCAUAGGAAUAAGGGGCUGCUAACCUCGUGCCAGCAGCAGCGGUAAUACGAGGGCCCCGAGCGUUAUCCGGAUUUAUUUGGCGUAAAGAGUCUGUAGGCGGUUUUUCGCAUCUCCUGUUAAAUCUCAAGGCUCAACCUUGAGGCCGCGGGAGAGAUGGAUAAACUAGAGACCGGAAGAGGCAAGCGGAAUUGCUGGUGUAGGGGUUAAAUCCGUUAAUAUCAGCAGGAACACCAAAUGCGUAGGCAGCUUGCUAGGACGGUUCUGACGCUGAGAGACGAAAGCGUGGGGAGCGAAUGGGAUUAGAUACCCCCGUAGUC
rnacentral:rRNA from 1 species